rnacentral:lncRNA from 1 species
CCCUGAGACAUUUUCCAGCGGGCAUCAGAAAUCCAGGACAAAAAGAUGGGGCUACUAAGACUGUGGUAGUCAGAGCAGACAUUGAUCACCUAUAAGGACUGCAGCAAUGGCAAGAAUGGAGUGUGAUACAUCACGUUUGUACAUUUCUCAAACAGACAGCUAGUACAAGGGAUUAUACAAGGUCUGACUUAUGCAAUCUCCAUAUCAUACAAACAUACAAGAUCUGACUUACCCAAUCACAACUCUUUUCUCUCAGAAAAUUGCACAUUGAAUGAUGCUGCAAGUAAAGGCAUUACACAGAUGAAGGGCAAAGUCUGAGGAGUCAGGACAUACUGGAAGGAAGACAUAACUUAUGCAUGACCUACAAUUUGUCACAAAUUAUCUCCCAGUAUUAGGAAGAAAGCUAGUAUAAGCACCUUCCUGAGUAUGUGGUGAAACUGUUCCAACAUAAAAUAAAUGGCAU